UUGGCAAGGGGUAAGCUGUGUUUUUUUCCUCCGUGUCACAAACUAUUUAAUGAUGUUUCUGUACUUUAAUUUCUCUGCUACUUUAUUGAUCUUUGAUGGGAAGAUAUUCUGUUACGUUUGUGUUGAUAUUUUCGUUGUAAUUUUCGCUCAAAGUAUGUACAUUAGCGCCAUUAAUGUCCGCGAUCGUUAUGAAGUUAACAGGUGCUAACGAGCAGAUUGGGAAGUAAAUAAAUGCUACUGGAUCGAGGCCCCUCGUCAUCUCUCCUGCCUCUUCAAUCAUCCAAAGACUGUUUAGUCUGUUAUUUUAAUGUAAUGGUCGGUUCAUGUCCGUUGCAUUGACUUGACUUGUCAUUGGGUCUGAUUUUAAAUGUGCCAUAUAGUUCAAUGUGGGAGCCGGUUCACACACUAAAUAAGACACUAAGGUCAAGCACAAGCAGAUUUUUUGUUUUAUUUUUCUCAGAGCAGAGUAGAGCAGAUGUUUCAGGUUGCUGCCAUCAGAGAGCAGUGACUUGACCUCAGUGUCUUAUUUAGUGUACUCCCACAUUGAACUCUACUUUUUGGGUCCACGCACCUACUUAUUUCUAAACAUCUAGAGUGCAACAAUACCCAUGCCUCCUAAUGUGCCAUAUAACCUGUAUCUCGCCUAUUGUGUGUGUGUGUGUGUGUGUGUGUGUGUGUGUGUGAGUGUGAGUGUGAGUGUGAGUGAGUGUUCGUGAAUGUGUUCACGCAGAUAUAAGAAGUUGGGGUUGGGGUUGAUGAUCCACAUGAUGGUGAUGGACCAGGACAGCUCUGGACCUCCUGACUGGCAGCUCCAUCCUCAACCUCCCUUCCUGUCCUUAAACACAUGUGCAGGCAGAGGCAGUUUUCUGAAGGAUGGUUAAUGUCAGUAUCAACAUGUUGUGAUGGAGGCUUCCACCUGAGCUGAACACAGAAACUUGCACACAGUGAUGGAAGCAGUCGUUCCUGUUCAGCAUUGAUAUGCCGGUAAUGGGUUUGAUGAGCCACAGCGUGGUGAUGGGCAAUCAGCAUCAGGACCAGGGCCGCUCACAAGGAGAACCUCCUGCCCUGCCUCUUCAUCCUCAACCUCCAA